GACGAACGCUGGCGGCGUGGAUUAGGCAUGCAAGUCGAACGGUAUCAUCCUUUCGGGGGUGAGAGAGUGGCGAACUGGUGAGUAACACGUAGGUUAUCUACCCUCAAGACGGGGACAACCCAGGGAAACUUGGGCUAAUACCGGAUGUGAGCAACUUUUAGUUGUUUGAAAGGUGGCGUAAGCUGUCGCUUGGGGAUGAGCCUGCGUCCUAUUAGUUAGUUGGUGAGGUAACGGCUCACCUAGGCAAUGAUAGGUAGGCGGCCUUAACGGGUGGUCGCCCACACUGGGAUUGAGAUACGGCCCAGACUCCUACGGGAGGCAGCAGUCGAGAAUAGUCUACAAUGGUCGGAAGACUGAUAGUGCGACGCCGCGUGAACGAUGAAUCCCUUCGGGGUGUAAAGUUCUUUUAUAUGUGAGCAGUGCUUCUUAUAUUAACAGUAUGGGGAGAGAGAUAUUAGCAUAUGAAUAAGCAACGGCUAACUCCAUGCCAGCAGCCGCGGUAAACUCG
rnacentral:rRNA from 1 species